rnacentral:rRNA from 1 species
ACAGAGGGGGCAAGCGUUGUUCGGAAUUACUGGGCGUAAAGGGCGCGUAGGCGGCCUGCUAAGUCGAACGUGAAAUCCCUGGGCUCAACCCAGGAACUGCGUCCGAUACUGGUUGGCUUGAAUCCGGGAGAGGGACGUGGAAUCCCAGGUGUAGCGGUGAAAUGCGUAGAUAUCUGGAGGAACACCGGUGGCGAAGGCGGCUUUCUGGACAAAUACCGACGCUGAGGCACGAAAGCUAGGGGAGCAAACAGGA